GCAGAGUGUGGUAGUGAGCGUCCUCGUCCGCCUCCAUGAACUUGUUCCUGGAGGUCCAUCCCAUCUCCGGAACAACCUGAGGGUACUGAGGCGUCGGUGCUGAACCCGUCGACGCGUGGGGUGCAGGCGCAGGUGGUGCAGGUGCAGGUGGUGCAGGCGCAGGUGGAACUGGAGCGGCAGCCCGCGGGAUCGGUACCGCCACUGGUGUAGGAGCUGAAGGCGUAGGCGUAGGGGAUCCCGUGUCCAUUGGCUCCUCCUCCUCGCCGCCACCAGAGGCGACGACCUCGGGCUCAGGUACGGGUGCUGGUACUGGUGCAGGUGCAGGUACUGGAGCUGGUGCUGGUGCAACUGCCGGAGCACGGGCGGCGACGAAGAGGGCACGGUACGCGGCUGCGCUGCGACGAGGCAUCUAUAAAUUUUGUUUUAAGAAUUAGAAUCAAUAGGUUUACAUAAAUAGAACAGUGAGUAAGAAUAUAAACUAUUAAUAAAAUAACAAGAAAGUAAAGUGAGCAGUGAAAUAAAUAAAGCGAAAAUAAGAACCCUAAAAUCGACUGUUUCUACCUAGGUUUGCGUCCUACAGUCAGCCUUGCUUUGAUACCAAUUUGUCACACCCAAAUUUAAGGAUAAAUUUGAGUACAAUAAUCUCAUGUGCGCCCAGGAAUAGUCGCGCACACAAGUCGACAAAUUACAAAUGUAUCAUAACAAGUGUUCUUACAAAACGUUAUUACAACACAAAUAUAUCAAAGUCUGCGACAAACGGAAAAUAAACUCAUAACUAGCUAUGAUAAGAUAACUCCAACACAGGGACGACCGACUGGGGGAUCGCCAACCUAGAAGUCCUCAGGGAAUUCCUCGUAGAAGCUGUCAUCUGUUACCCAUCCGGGAUUUUGUCCAAAAAGAAAGAUAAAGACAAGCGUGAGUACAUCUCGUACUCCGCAAGCAUAACACAGGAAUUUAUGCGGCUCAAAGAGGUCAGACACUGGCUACGGCAGUUAGCAUUUUAAUUGGUCAAUGUUUUAAUCCUAUUUAAUCAUCAAUUAUGCUUAAGCUCCCGAUUAGCCCAAAUGAGCACAUGAUAAUAACACCGUUAACCUUCACGGCUAACACCAUCACCAUCACGGUUAAACCACAUUAAUCAUCACGAUCCAUGCGUCAGAUUUUCAUAAGUUAUUUCCCAUAAUCAUCCACACCCAACUAUUCCGUAAGGGUCCAAGGCCACUCAUGUCCGAGAGCACGGCUAGUAUACCAGUUUGAUCAUACUCUGCGCAGAGGUGUGCACUUUUCCCGUAAGUCGUGUUACCCAUAUGCCCGGGGUUUGCAAGACCCACUAACACUGCCAAGGUGAGCGGGCAGGGAACACUAUGAAGCCUUCCGUAGGCCACGUCUAACCAGUUAGGGCCGCGAGGUUUCCUCGGCAGGCAGAUAUAGAGAACCCCCUUUCCUAUGGCACAUUUCCAUCAUGGCUAUACACAUAGGAACAAAAGCAGUUCUAUACCCAAAGUGGCAAGCCCCUCUUGCGCCCUUUCGGGUAACCUCUAACCAGCUAGAUGAGAUCCUAUUACUGAGCUAAAGUUAGAGCCAUAUAACCAUCGCGGUUGCACUGUAAGUCCCGGAUUGUCGCUUACAGAGAAGUCCUUACGGAGGGUCUAGGUCAACUCGACCGAAGUCAAUUGCACCAUAGCCCUUUUUCCCAACAUUUAUCAUCAUAUUCAUUAAAGUCAGAGUGAUAGUAAAUUCUCAAUUAAUUAAAGCACUAGCAAAGCUACCCACAUGCAUUCUACCCAUAGGUGUCAUAAAUAUAUAGUCAGGUAGCUAGGAUGUCCUUAGGGUUACCAAAUUAGACACAUGCAGAUGCGUAAUUAAUUAAGUGAAUAGGUGUACAAGGGAAACCCAUGUUAUACUUGCCUUCAGUGAAGGGGAACUGCUGCUGGUCCUGCUGCUCCUCGUAGUAAAAUGGAUCACCCACGGACACGUCACCGUCUGCGCUCGAUCGGUACCACACAACAACACGCAUCCAGGUUCAUUCAUACAAGCAAACAAUCAUUUAAUUAGAACAGUACACCAACAGAUCAAAAUGAAAUAAAAUACUUAAAAACAGAACCUUCGAUUCGCUACGAUCACAUUGGUACGAAGAUCACGAAAAUCGGAGCUAAAACGACCAAGUUACGACUUUCCGGCGAUUUCCUAUAGGCAAUUAAUUAAUUAAACCUAACCCUGAAAAUAAAAAGUGGCAAACUAUAGAAACAGUGGUACUAUCAUGUAGAGAAUUUAAUUAUGAACCUAACGCAAUUUGAACGGGUCAAUUCGGAGCUAUAACGAAUAUUUUAUGGCCAAAACAAGUUCAGUGGCAAUUCUGUAAUUUCCCGAAAGCGUAUUUUGACCUAACCGACGGAUAAUACGUUUUCUAAAAGAGAAAACGUAUUUUACUCGAAGGCGCUAGGGACUGCGGCCGAAUUAGGAAAUCCGGGAGGGGCUCUUUAAGCAAAUUUUCCCCUGAAGGGGUAUGAUGCGCUGAGGGCCGUCAGAUCGCGAACGGACGGCCGAGAUUAGAGAAAGGGGGAAAAGAGAGAGAGGGGCGGCCCUCCUGGCCGGAGGGAAAGGAGGGCGCGGCGGCGGCCAUUGCUGGCCGACCCAAGCUCGCCGGCGAAAUUCGAUAGGGCGCUACGGGGCAUGGUUUUGCGAACCGAAACUACCGAGAGAGAGAGGAGGUCGCAGCGAACUCGAUUCCAAGCUUAGCGCGGCCGGGGAGACCAAACGUGACCCGCUCCAUGGCCGGCGGCCAUGGAGCUCGAUGGAGUUCGCCGAAACCGACCCCAACGACCAAGAAACGGAACGAAACGAGCACCGGGAGGAAGCGAGGAAGGAGACGAUGCUCACCCAGGGGACGAAACGCGGCAAAAGGGCUCCAAACGGAGGAACGACGCGCGGCGGCGCUUGCUGCUCCGGCAGUUUCUUUUCUGCGCUAGGAUGAGAGGAAAACAGAGGCGAGGAGGGGGAAUGGGGGAGAAAGAACAGGGCUCGGGCGCGGGGCUCUUCAAAAGCUUCCGAGGCGCGGGGGGGGGGGGGAAAUCGUGGGCGCGGGCUUCGGCCUUGCGGUUUCCAAACCGAUAGAGAGAGAAGAGCGGGGGUGACGGUUGGGGAAGAGAGAGCUGACAGGCGGGCCCGGCCUGUCAGCGGGUGAGAGAGAGAGAGGGGGAAGGGAGGGGGAGGCGGCUGGGCCGGCCCAAGAAGGAGAUGGGGCGCGCGGGGGGGGUUGCUGGGCCUCCAAGCCGAAAAGAGGAAGGGGAAGAGAAGUUUCUUUUUUUUUCUUUUUUUUUUAUACUAUUUUUUUUUUCCAAUUGAGAUUUUGAGCAGGAAAAAGAAAAUAAAAGAAUCACUUUGUUUUCCAAUCAAUCAUCACAAAAGAAAUGCUCCGGCAUGAAUGCAACAUAAACAUUUCUCUAAGUUUAUAACAAAUUUUAAUUUCUCCAAAUUUAUUUAUUUUCCUAUAGUGAAAAUGCUCACAAAAUGAAUUCAUUUAAAUUCAUUUCAUCUAUUUAAAAGAAACAAAAUUUUUGGGUGUUACAAUUCUACCCCCCUUAAAAAUAAUCUCGUUCUCGAGAUUGAGAUGGUGCUUACUCAAAGAGAUACGGAUAAGAUUGCCUCAGCUCAUCUUCUCUUUCCCAAGUGGCUUCUUCUUCUUUAUAUCGGUGCCACUGCACUUUGCACAUCUUUAUAACCCGACUCCGGGUGACUCUUUCCGCCGUUUCUAAGAUCUUGAUUGGAUAUUCCUCAUAAGUUAGAUCUCCUUCAACUGUGAGUUCCUCCAAUGGAAUUUGUUCCUCAGGCACUCGCAAACAUUUCUUCAGUUGCGACACAUGGAACACAUCAUGAAUACCCGACAUACUCGCAGGCAACUCUAACUGAUAGGCCACUUCUCCACGUCUCCUAAGAAUUCUGAACGGUCCAACGUACCUCGGUGCCAAUUUUCCCUUCAUAUUAAACCUCCUGACACUUCUCAUAGGUGACACCUUCAAAUACACAUAGUUGCCUAUCUCGAAUGCCAAUUCUCUUCUUCUAGUAUCAGCAUAACUCUUUUGCCGGGACUGGGCUACUCUCAAGUUGUCCCGUAUUUUCCGCACUUUUUCCUCUGCAUCUCUAAGAACAUCAGGUCCAAAUACUUGACUCUCGCCAGUCUGAUUCCAAAACAGAGGUGUUCUACAUUUCCGCCCAUACAAUGCUUCAAACGGUGCCAUAUCAAGACUUUUCUGGUAACUAUUAUUAUAUGAAAAUUCAGCAUAUGGUAAACUAGUGUCCCAAUUGGUACCAUACUGUAACGCACACGCUCUCAACAUGUCUUCUAGAAUCUGAUUUACUCUUUCAGUCUGCCCAUCAGUUUGGGGAUGAUACGCGGAACUAAAGUUCAACUUUGUUCCCAAUGAUUCAUGUACUUUAUGCCAAAACUGAGAUGUGAACUGUGUACCCCGAUCAGACACGAUCUUCUUCGGAACUCCGUGCAGACUCACGAUUCUAUCCAUAUAUAACUUUGCCAACUUUGCACCAUCAUAGUUGGUCUUAACGGGCAAAAAGUGAGCAACUUUAGUGAGUCGAUCCACUAUUACCCAAAUUGAAUCAUACCCACGCUGGGUGCGGGGCAAUCCAGUGAUGAAAUCCAUACCUACUUCUUCCCAUUUCCACUCGGGCACUUGCAUUGGCUGCAACAACCCUGCAGGUCUUUGGUGCUCGGCUUUCACCCUCUGACAAGUAUCACAUAACGCUACAUACUCUGCCACAUCUCUCUUUAAUCCAUACCACCAAUAUUUUUCUUUAAGAUCUAGAUACAUCUUGGUGCUUCCGGGGUGAAUUGAAUAUGCAGAGUCAUGUGCUUCACGCAGGAUUGCAUCUCGGAUGGAUUUCACUUCUGGCACACAUAUUCUCUUCCUAAACCAUAGUGUACCAUUUUCGUCUAACUUGAAACCCGGUGCUUUUCCAAGCACUACAUUCUCUGAAAUUUCUUUUAGUUUCUCAUCUUCCAACUAACCUUUGCGGAUUUCUUGCUCUAAGGUGGGCUCUAACUCCAAUUCAACAGUGUUGUUCACUAAACCCAAAUUGAGAUGCGCUAUUUCAGCUAGCAACUCUGUGGGAAUGAAGGUCAAUUGCAGCCCAUUGGCAUAACUCUUUCGGCUAAGUGCAUCGGCAACAACGUUUGCCUUCCCGGGAUGGUAAUGCACUUCCAGGUCAUAAUCCUUUAUUAAUUCUAGCCAGCGGCGUUGCCUUAGGUUCAGGUCUGACUGUGUGAAAAUAUACUUCAAACUUUUGUGAUCCGUAUAAAUAUCACACUUAUGUCCAAUUAGAUAAUGCCUCCAAAUCUUCAGAGCAUGAACCACGGCAGCUAGCUCCAAAUCAUGAGUAGGAUAGUUCAGCUCAUGUUUUCUCAACUGCCUGGAUGCGUACGCCACUACUCUUCCUUCUUGCAUAAGCACACAGCCAAGGCCUAGGCGAGAUGCAUCGCAAUAAAUAGAGAAGGUUUUGCUCAGAUCUGGUAAGGUCAACACGGGGGCUGUGGUCAACCUUUUCUUUAGCUCCUCAAAAUUUUCUUGACACUUAUCUGACCAAAUAAAUUUGGCAGUCUUCUCUAGUAGGGCUGUCAUGGGCUUUGCUAACUUAGAGAAGCCUUCAAUAAAUCUCCUAUAAUAACCAGCUAGUCCCAAAAAGCUACGGAUCUCACUAGCAUUGGUUGGAGGCUUCCAAUUUAGCACAUCCCGCACUUUGCUGGGGUCUACGGCUAUUCCACCGUUAGAGACCACAUGUCCCAAAAAUGAGACCUCAUCCAACCAAAACUCACACUUGCUUUUCUUGGCAUACAAUUUAUUCUCUCUAAGCUUUUGCAAGACCAGCCUCAAGUGUUCAGCAUGUUCUUCUUUGGUUUUGGAGAAGAUUAAUAUAUCAUCAAUGAAUACUACCACGAACUUAUCCAAAUACUCCAUGAACACCUUGUUCAUCAUAUACAUGAAGUAUGCAGGUGCAUUGGUCAGCCCAAAUGACAUGACUGUAUACUCAUACAAGCCAUACCUUGUGGUAAAAGCUGUCUUAGGUAUGUCAGUUGCACGGAUUUUCAACUGGUGAUAGCCAGAUCGAAGGUCAAUUUUGGAGAAUACACAUGCUCCUUUCAGUUGGUCAAAUAAGUCAUCUAUUCUAGGCAAUGGGUACUUGUUUUUAAUAGUGACUUCAUUUAAUGACCGAUAAUCCACACACAUCCUCCUAGUGCCAUCUUUCUUAUCAACAAAGAUUACUGGUGCACCCCAUGGUGAAGAACUAGGACGAAUAAACCCUUUUUCUUGCAAUUCCUUAAGUUGUUUCUUAAGUUCCUCUAAUUCAUUUACCCCCAUUCUAUAUGGUCUUUUUGCUAUGGGUGCAGUUCCAGGUAAAAGCUCAAUAAGAAAUUCAAUGUCUCGGUCUGGUGGCAUACCUGGCAACUCAUCCGGGAAAACAUCGGGGAACUCGUCCACCACCUGGUCUUCUUGAUUACCACCACUCAACUGAUUCACCGUAGCAGUCGGCUGAGGCUGCACUGCCACAUCCACACUUAUUCUAUCCCCACAUGGUGAUGUCACCACCACAGCCCUCUCUUGACACUGUAUUACUGCCCCAUGCUGCUUCAUCCAAUCCAUACCAAGUAUGAGGUCAAUUCCCAUGGUUCUUAGCACAAUAGGUUUCACCUUGAAAUCUACCCCCCUUAGAGAUAUACUAGUGGAGGGGCUCCAGUAAUUAGCUGGCAUGGUGCCUCCCGGUGAAUUUACUAGCAUGGAAUUUUUCAGUGCACAAAGUGGGAUGCUAUGCACUCUAACAAAAGCUUGGGAGAUAAAAGAAUGUGAAGCACCAGAAUCAAACAGUACUGUAGCGGGGAUGGAGUUGAUGUUGAACGUACCCAUCAUAACCUCAGGUGCUUCCUGAGCUGUGUCAGUGGACACAUGGUUCACUUUCCCAGAGAACGGAGGUCGAGCAGGCCUCUGAUUGUUGUUCUGAUUUUGCUGGGCUGGUGGAUUCUGCUUCCUGGGGCACUGGUAGGCAUAGUGUCCCACCUCUCCGCAGCGGUAACAGGCAUUGGGAUUUCCGCUGGGUGCUGCACUCUUGCCAGGAGCAUUGUUGGGCACUCCUUGGCGUGGUGCCUGGUUGCUGACCUGUUGCUGGAGGCGCUGCUGACUCUGAUUGCCAUACUGCUGUUGAGGGCGUUGUUGGUUUUGGUGGCUGUACUGCUGGUGGUACUGAGGACGCUGUGGAAACUGACUCCGGUUCCACUGAUUCGGCGGCCCUUGACUGCGCUGAGGGAAUCCCUGCUGAGGGUACGCACGUGGGCGAGUGUUGCUGCCCGACGGCUGCCCCUGGAGCUUUCUCUUCUUUGCAUCCAUCUCCUUGCGCUUGUUGUCGAUGACAAUAGCGCGGUUCACCAAUUCUUGAAAGCAAGGGUAGGUGUUGCUCAUCAGCUGCAGCUGCAGUCCAUCAUACAGACCCUUCAUGAAAAGACGUUGCUUGUCAGAGUCCCUGGCCACCUCAUAUGGAGCAUAUCGUGACAGUUGAGCAAACUUGUCACGAUACUCACUGACUGACAUUGAUCCCUGCUUGAGAGAUCUGAACUCUUCCGCUUUCAGUUCUAUCAGGCCCUCCGGAAUAUGAUGGGACCUGAACCCUUCCGUAAACUCCUUCCAGGUGACUGGCGGAGCAUUGUUCGGGCGUCCAUAUUGAUAGGACUCCCACCACUCCUGUGCAGGUCCUUGCAGCUGACCUGAUGCGUACAGCACUUUCUCCAGGUCGCUGCAUUGGGCAAUGUUCAGCUGCUUCUCGACUGCUUUUAACCAGUCGUCUGCCUCCAGUGGAUCAGAGGCAUGGGUGAACACCGGAGGGCGUCCUUUCAAGAACUCCCCUCGCUUGUCACGGACUUGAACCGGAGGUGGUGCUGCUACUGGUUCAUUGUUCAUACGUUUCAUCAUGGCUUGCAUCAAAUUAGCUUGCAUACCCAUAAGCUGCUCAAUAGUCAUCGGCGGCGGUGGUGGUGGUGGAUUCUCAGGUACACCACGUCCACGGCCACGACCACGGCCACGGCCACGUCCACGACCAGCGGCUGCUCCUUCGGCGUCCAUCUGCUUCCAACAAAAAUUCAUGGCUUUUAGUGAUCUUCCAAAAAUAAUUAUUCAUCGCUUAUAGUGAAUAAAAACAAGUCUAGCAGUUUUCUGGACAAGUUUCAAACUCAGCAGGUCAGUAAUCCGUGCUUAUCUCAGAACCUACAGGUCCAAAAAGGAAUAUGGUAUACAUUGUUGGAAAGGUUAAGAAAUUCUCUACAAACUUUAUUCAGACCACAUUCACUGAUUCCAACAGUAACAUAAUCAAAAUUAUGAUUUAUCAGGUUCUGCUCUGGUUCUCAGUCUGCGCAGGUACAGCAGAUUAAAACGGACAUAUCUCACAGAUCCGAAUAGAUAAUGAGGUGAUUCCAGUUGGAGAUGAAAGAUAUAGCAGUCUAGUUUUCACCAUAAAAAUUUCGUAAUUUUUGACUGAACCGAUAAUGAGAUACUGAAUAAGCAUCACAGACUGCUCCAGAAACAGCAUGACUGAGACAAGAUAAAGUAACCCAACCUCGAAAUUAAACAACAUUACUUCUAAGAUUAAUAUUUAGAAACAUGCGGACAGGCCCACAUGUUUCCACAAUCAAACAAAACUCCAAAUCAUAAAUGUUCAUCAACACAAACAGCAACUCACUAAAGUUCACAUGCCACACAUUACUGAAAUACUCGUGCUAGCGUCAAUCUAGAAAGUACUGGGAAAUCUAAGGAGCUCUAUCCUGGAGAACGAACUUGCGGGGAUUCUUCUUGUAGAUGGGUGGCUGUCCAAGCUGACCACGCAGCUCAUCCACCUGACGCUGGAGGCGCUUCCCCGCCUGUUGUGCAACACGCAGCUCCUGUCUCAGUGCCCCAUUCAUCUCCUGAAUGGCACUGACGUGUCUCACAGUCGUAUCCAGGGUAGGGUCGCCGGCAGGAGGUGCCAGGACAUGUCAUGUCUUGCCAUCUGGGUCGUUGCGGGGAAGGAACCGGUACCUGUCCUCCUGCAUGGCCUCAAAACGGCGGCCAUGGUAGUGAAAGUACGCGGCCUGAGCUGCAUCCUCCAUGCUCUCGUAGGCGGAAGCACGUCUAACCCGGCUCUCGUGGAUGGACUCCACCUCGUCCGAGUUGUCGACGUUGUUCCGAGCUGUAAUGAUCACCUCGGCCUUCCAGUAGGUGUUCUCCAACGGGUGCUUGUGCUCCGAGCAAAGGUAGCGGACGGUGGCGGCAAACUCCGGGUAAUAGCUCGCCAACACACCCGUGAGCAAAGUGUGGUAGUGAGCGUCCUCGUCCGCCUCCAUGAACUUGUUCCUGGAGGUCCAUCCCAUCUCCGGAACAACCUGAGGGUACUGAGGCGUCGGUGCUGAACCCGUCGACGCGUGGGGUGCAGGCGCAGGUGGUGCAGGUGCAGGUGGUGCAGGUGGUGCAGGCGCAGGUGGAACUGGAGCGGCAGCCUGCGGGAUCGGUACCGCCACUGGUGUAGGAGCUGAAGGCGUAGGCGUA
rnacentral:lncRNA from 1 species